CCCCAAAUUUUAUAAAGUAUUAGAAUGUGUAUUGCGAUGUAACGCAUCUAUAUACAACUUUCAGCAACGGAUCUCUUGGCUCUCGCAUCGAUGAAGAACGCAGCGAAAUGCGAUAAGUAAUGUGAAUUGCAGAAUUCAGUGAAUCAUCGAAUCUUUGAACGCACCUUGCGCUCCUUGGUAUUCCGAGGAGCAUGCCUGUUUGAGUGUCAUGAAAUCUUCAACUUACAGACCUUUGCGGGUUUUGUAAGCUUGGACUUGGAGGCUUGUCGGCCGUGUUUCGGUCGGCUCCUCUUAAAUGCAUUAGCUUGAUUCCUUGCGGAUCGGCUCUCGGUGUGAUAAUGUCUACUCCGCGACCGUGAAGCGUUUUGGCGAGCUUCUAACCGUCCUCGUUUGGACAACUUUAUGACCUCUGACCUCAAA
rnacentral:rRNA from 1 species